rnacentral:rRNA from 1 species
GAUGAACGCUGGCGGCGUGCCUAAUACAUGCAAGUCGAGCGAACAGACGAGGAGCUUGCUCCUCUGACGUUAGCGGCGGACGGGUGAGUAACACGUGGAUAACCUACCUAUAAGACUGGGAUAACUUCGGGAAACCGGAGCUAAUACCGGAUAAUAUAUUGAACCGCAUGGUUCAAUAGUGAAAGACGGUUUUGCUGUCACUUAUAGAUGGAUCCGCGCCGCAUUAGCUAGUUGGUAAGGUAACGGCUUACCAAGGCAACGAUGCGUAGCCGACCGGAGAGGGUGAUCGGCCACACUGGAGCUGAGACACGGUCCAGACUCCUACGGGAGGCAGCAGUAGGGAAUCUUCCGCAAUGGGCGAAAGCCUGACGGAGCAACGCCGCGUGAGUGAUGAAGGUCUUCGGAUCGUAAAACUCGGUUAUUAGGGAAGAACAAAUGUGUAAGUAACUAUGCACGUCUUGACGGUACCUAAUCAGAAAGCCACGGCUAACUACGUG